rnacentral:rRNA from 1 species
AGAGUUUGAUCAUGGCUCAGGAUGAACGCUAGCGGCAGGCUUAACACAUGCAAGUCGAGGGGCAGCACAUGAGUAGCAAUACGAUGGUGGCGACCGGCGCACGGGUGAGUAACGCGUAUGCAACCUGCCCAUAACUGGGGGAUAACCCGGAGAAAUCCGGACUAAUACCGCAUAAGACCACGAGGCGACAUCGCCCUGUGGUAAAAACUUCGGUGGUUAUGGAUGGGCAUGCGUGUCAUUAGCUAGUUGGUGAGGUAACGGCUCACCAAGGCGACGAUGACUAGGGGGUCUGAGAGGAUGGUCCCCCACACUGGAACUGAGACACGGUCCAGACUCCUACGGGAGGCAGCAGUGAGGAAUAUUGGUCAAUGGGCGGAAGCCUGAACCAGCCAUGCCGCGUGAAGGAUGACGGCCUUAUGGGUUGUAAACUUCUUUUGUGGUAGAACAAUAAGGGGCACGAGUGCUCCGAUGAGAGUAUAUCACGAAUAAGCAACGGCUAACUCCGUGCCAGCAGCCGCGGUAAUACGGAGGUUGCGAGCGUUAUCCGGAUUUAUUGGGUUUAAAGGGUGCGUAGGCGGUUUGAUAAGUCAGUGGUGAAAGUUUGCAGCUUAACUGUAAAAUUGCCAUUGAUACUGUCAGACUUGAGUACAGAUGAGGUAGGCGGAAUGUGUGGUGUAGCGGUGAAAUGCUUAGAUAUCACACAGAACACCGAUUGCGAAGGCAGCUUACUAAACUGACACUGACGCUGAGGCACGAAAGUGUGGGGAUCAAACAGGAUUAGAUACCCUGGUAGUCCACACUGUAAACGAUGAUUACUGGAUGUU